rnacentral:rRNA from 1 species
UGGGGAAUUGUUCGCAAUGGGCGCAAGCCUGACGACGCAACGCCGCGUGGAGGAUGAAGAUCUUCGGGUCGUAAACUCCUUUCGAUCGAGACGAAUUCCCCUGGGGCUAAUACCCCUAGGGGUUGACGGUACCGAGAGAAGAAGCCCCGGCUAACUCCGUGCCAGCAGCCGCGGUAAUACGGGGGGGGCAAGCGUUGUUCGGAAUUACUGGGCGUAAAGGGCUCGUAGGCGGCCAACUAAGUCGGACGUGAAAUCCCUCGGCUUAACCGGGGAACUGCUUCCGAUACUGGAUGGCUUGAGUUUGGGAGAGGGAUGCGGAAUUCCAGGUGUAGCGGUGAAAUGCGUAGAUAUCUGGAGGAACACCGGUGGCGAAGGCGGCAUCCUGGACCAACACUGACGCUGAUGAGCGAAAGCCAGGGGAGCAAACGGGAUUAGAUACCCCCGUAGUCC